GACGAACGCUGGCGGCGUGCCUAACACAUGCAAGUCGCACGGGACCGGGGGCAACUCCGGUUCAGUGGCAGACGGGUGCGUAACACGUGAGGAACCUGUCCAACGGCCGGGGAUAGCCGGCCUAACGGCCGGGUAAUACCGCGUACGAUCGUCCGGGGGCAUCCCUGGGCGAUGAAAGCAGCCGCAAGGUUGCGCCGAUGGAGGGCCUCGCGGCCUAUCAGCUAGUUGGCGGGGUAACGCCACCAAGGCGACGACGGGUAGCUGGUCUGAGAGGAUGGCCAGCCACAUUGGGACUGAGACACGGCCCAGACUCCUACGGGAGGCAGCAGUGGGGAAUAUUGCGCAAUGGCCGCAAGGCUGACGCAGCGACGCCGCGUGUGGGAUGACGGCC
rnacentral:rRNA from 1 species